rnacentral:rRNA from 1 species
CAUGCCCUACGGGGCGCAGCAGUGAGGAAUAUUGGUCAAUGGCCGGAAGGCUGAACCAGCCAAGCCGCGUGAAGGACGAAGGUGUCAAGCAUUGUAAACUUCUUUUGUCAAGGGACAAAAUCAGGCUCGAGAGCCUGACCGAGGGUACUUGAAGAAAAAGCAUCGGCUAACUCCGUGCCAGCAGCCGCGGUAAUACGGAGGAUGCGAGCGUUAUCCGGAUUUAUUGGGUUUAAAGGGUGCGCAGGCGGGAGAUCAAGUCAG